UACGUAGGGGGCAAGCGUUGUCCGGAUUUAUUGGGCGUAAAGAGCGUGUAGGCGGCCAGGUAGGUCCGCUGUGAAAACUCGAGGCUCAACCUCGAGACGUCGGUGGAAACCGUUUGGCUAGAGUCCGGAAGAGGAGAGUGGAAUUCCCGGUGUAGCGGUGAAAUGCGCAGAUAUCAGGAGGAACACCGGUGGCGAAGGCGGGUCUCUGGGCCGAUACUGACGCUGAGGAGCGAAAGCGUGGGGAGCGAACAGG
rnacentral:rRNA from 1 species